GUCCUGGGGAAGGACAUGGUCCUGAGAACAAGAAGUCUUGCUUCCAAACCAGAAUGUAUGAGACGUCCACUGCCCUCUGUUCCCAGCAGAGUGACCAAAACCAAUUUGUUGGCUUUUAUUUGCCUGGCCCUUACAAAAGUGCCUUUGUGGGAGAAGUGGGAUCCAGCACCAUAUGGCAAGGGACCCAGAGGG